GGUCAGGAAGCAGAUGAUCCUCCCAACGUGGUGAGAAGCUCAAUAGUAGCCUAACGCUACAUCACAAUGCCGAUGUCGUUCACCUCACUUCAUCUCAUGACUUAGGUAAUUUAUCACCUCACAUCAUCACAGAAAGAAGGCCAAGUCUUCCAAAUCUGGCAUCUUGUUUAGAGCACAUCUCAACUUAGAAUGGCCACAUUUCAAGCGCUUGUAAGCCACAGCUUCAAGUUUGAUUUUUCAGCAAGGCAACUUUAUCAGUGGUGAUGUCCAUGGCUUCCUCUCUUCUGUGAAACAGCAUCAGUAAAUAUCCUAGUGAAUGAAUGUGCCCACAGAAGCCCUGCCUGAGGUUAUUCAUCUGUUUGUGUGUCUCUCACCAGCUUCCUUUCUCAUAGACAUGCUUAAAAAGAGAAAUUGGAAUGCCACUGGUUACGCAGUUUGGAUUUCUCAUUUAGCACACCCUAUAUUUUUCCCAGGUUACUAGCUGCUUCCUUAAACUAGCUUGCAGUUUGAAAGUGUGUUGCACUCUAGGUCUUUUCCCUAAUGUUGAAACACUUAGGUUUUUCCUGAGUGUUACCGU